rnacentral:rRNA from 1 species
GUGAGGAAUAUUGGUCAAUGGGCGGAAGCCUGAACCAGCCAUCCCGCGUGGAGGAAGACGGCCCUAUGGGUUGUAAACUUCUUUUCAAGGGGAAGAAAGUUCGCGACGUGUCGCGAUUUGCCGGUACCUUUGGAAUAAGCAUCGGCUAACUCCGUGCCAGCAGCCGCGGUAAUACGGAGGAUGCGAGCGUUAUCCGGAUUUAUUGGGUUUAAAGGGUGCGUAGGCCGAUCGAUAAGUCAGCGGUGAAAUACCAUGGCCCAACCAUGGAACUGCCGUUGAUACUGUCGGUCUUGAAUAUGGUCAAGGUAGGCGGAAUGUGUAAUGUAGCGGUGAAAUGCUUAGAUAUUACACAGAACACCGAUUGCGAAGGCAGCUUACUGGUCCAUUAUUGACGCUGAGGCACGAAAGCGUGGGGAGCAAACAGGAUUAGAAACCCGAGUAGUCC